rnacentral:tRNA from 1 species
GAGGCAGUCGUCUAACGGCAGGACAUCCGUUUCCUCAGUCAUAAAAUUAUCGUUUCCGGUCAAUUAUGACUUACUUCAACCUCCCAACGGAAAACGCGGGUUCGACUCCCGCCUGCCUCA